UUUGACGUUACCUACAGAAGAAGCACCGGCUAACUCCGUGCCAGCAGCCGCGGUAAUACGGAGGGUGCGAGCGUUAAUCGGAAUUACUGGGCGUAAAGCGCAUGCAGGCGGCCUGUUAAGUCAGAUGUGAAAGACCCGGGGCGUUAACCUCGGAAUUGCAUUUGAAACUAGGCAGGCUAGAGUCUUGUAGAGGGGGGUAGGAAGUUUCAGGUGUAGCGGUGAAAUAGCGUAGAGAUCUGAAGGAAUACCAGUGGCGAAGGCGGCCCCCUCGGACAAAGACUGACGCUCAGAUGCGAAAGCGUGGGGAGCAAACAGGAUUAGAUACCCUGGUAG
rnacentral:rRNA from 1 species